CUACUGUGAGCGGUCGAAGGAAAGAGACUUUUCUCCAGCAAUAUCGAUGGUGGCAGAACGAUACGAGACUAGAGGAACGGAAAGCAGUAAGUGGGCGGUGGGUGGGAGGCGAUGGAGAUAGGAGGUUAGAGAGCAACGGGGUUGGCCAGGACCUAUGGAGGACACUGAGAGUGUAAUGUAAACUAAUUAGCAAUGGAGUCUACGGCAAUUAAGGCUGCUAGAGUGCUUCGCUCUGACACUCCACCAACAACCCAUACCUGGUUGACAACAAGGCUGAAGAAUGGCGAAGGAGCAAUGCUGUUGAAGGAUAAACGCAAAUGGGCUGAAUCUAAGUAUUUCAUGCAUAUUACAUAUGUAUGGGAUGCUCUGACGGAGAUAAUUUUUAAAUUUGUAUUUUUACGCGGGAAUUCUCAUGCAUUUAAAUAUAUUACGUAUAAUCCAUUAAGCGAGUAUAUCUGUACUAGGCUCUCGUAAUGGUACAGCUUAUCUUUAUAACUACCAUUAACAAUAUUAUUAUUGAGCUAAGACGGAUAAUAAUAUUAUUUUCACGAAGUUAAGUUCAAUUCGGUACGUAACGCCGCGUUUAAUCGAGCGUGGAAUUACGUGCUACAACUCUGUUGAGUUUUAUCGGUGUAAAAAUUUUGUUUUUUAUUCUCACGAUAAAAUAUGCCAUUGCAGUGAUAAUAUAGAGCAACUUGGAAACUGAGGUUGUCGCUAAAAAAAAAGUGACAGGAUCAUCAAAACGUAUCUGUUUCCAGGAAUAAUGAACUUUUUGAAUUUUUAAAAAUUCAUUACAAAUAUUAAAGAAUUGAUAAGACUAAUAAUUUAAGAUAUAUCGCCAGCAUUAAUCAAUUUGACGUGACGCAGGCAAGUCGAAUUAGAAAUACUUCUAAAUGAUAAUGACCUUUCGCCAAGGUCAUACAAAUUUUUCCCAGUGCGACAUCGAUCAGCUUCAUUAAAAGACUUCAGAGCUUCCGCUUUCGGUAAACCAUCUUAGUUUCCCAGUUAAUAAGCAGCUCAUCGUGUUAUCUCACGUACCCCCAGGACACGGUCUGAGCUCGAGCGCCAGAGCGAGAGGUUCAUAAUCAGGAGUAAGAUUAUAUUUUUAAAUGAACUAGCGGGUAAGAAGAGACCAGCGUAGCCAGCCAUUGAGUCAGCCACCCGUCAAGCAAGACCAGAGCCGGGGGUUCCCGAGGUCGGAGAAUCAUUCCGGCGCAUAAGAAUAAAUGUUUACAAGCCGCCGUUAUGCUACGAGGUCCUAUAGAGUUACUAGCUGAUACGAAACCUGACCUAUGACCCUUGGAACUUGCAACUCGUAAAGGACAACGCUUAGUGGCUCACUUGAUAUUUUUCAACUGCGGUCCUUGGGGCCGACUUUGAAACAAAGUCGAUUUAACUGGGCAGUCAAGUGACCGUCCCUUAGAAUUCAUGAGAGCCAGAAAACGACCAUUCUCAUAGAAGGAAUUCGAGUGACCAGACAGCCUUGGACUACUAGGCGUAACUGGGCAUGCAUUCCAGCAGCCGCGUGGGAAGGAAAGGAGAAAGGAGGGAAGAGAGGAGGCUGAAUAGCUUAUAGUGGAGAACGUGGUGGGACCGGGUCGUCUACUCUCGAGGGUGCUUCCUGGGUGUAAGGGAGGGUUGAAGAAGAGGUUCGCAGGGGCGGCUCGAGCGAAGGGGGGCCCGACAGAGAGAAAAAGGGUCUGGAUGGGGAUGGGAGGGUCGGAGGAUGCCGUGGAGCCAGGUUGUAGAGAACGGGAGAGAGAAGUGGAGGAGUGUCACAAUGGCCUGCAGAUUGGAGAGGCAGACGUACAGUCCGAGCGCGGUACAGUCAAGCUGAGACAGCGCAUAGUCGCAAACUAUCAUGGACUAUAAACUACUGAACGGGUGGUAUCCAGCGGGAGGGCCGACCAAAGCCUGAUAUUACUACUUGUACAAAUACAAACAUCCGAGAUGCUAGUGAGGUUGGGGUUGACAGGGAUUCUCAAUGUCAUAAUACACACUCCGAAAAGCCCUUAAGUAAAGUUUUCCCGACGUAAAGCUCACCAUUCACUGGAUACUAUAUAUAUAUAUAUUUCCUAGGAAUUUUAAUAGUCGCGUAGAAGUGAAAAAAGAAAAAAAAUGACUACAAAUAAAUAUCACGUCUUCGAUCUACUUGCUCCUGGUAAUUAAGUACGAUCCUAAUGAAGUCCAAAAUAGGAGUUAGGAGUUCGUAAAUUUUCACAGAUUUACGUGAACUCAUAUUCCCUUAGGAUUUUAGAAUAUAGGGAUAAAGUCUGGGACCGCGAUUAAACUGGCAAGUCUGGCAGGAAGAAGUCCGUCUCAGAGGGGUUGGUUGGGACGUUUAGAUGCCGUGGCUCUGGGGCGUAAUAUUGAUCAUGGCAUGGGCGGGGGGUGUCUGCACCCUACCGGCGUACCCUCUUGCCCUCUUCCUCCUCCCGCGACUCCGUCGCUCGGGAACUAACUGAAGCGUUGCAACGGGCCCACUCGCUGCAUACACGCGCCAUCCCCAUAACGGGUGGUCGUUAAGUGUCGCAGAAAAAUCUCAGUUGCGUAUUAGCAACGCUUCGGAUGAUACUCGUUGAACGCACAUGCAGAUAUUGGCCUUGUGGGAGAAUAAGGGAGUU